rnacentral:rRNA from 1 species
GGGUGAGUAACACGUGGGUAACCUGCCUGUAAGACUGGGAUAACUCCGGGAAACCGGAGCUAAUACCGGAUAGUUCCUUGAACCGCAUGGUUCAAGGAUGAAAGACGGUUUCGGCUGUCACUUACAGAUGGACCCGCGGCGCAUUAGCUAGUUGGUGGGGUAAUGGCUCACCAAGGCGACGAUGCGUAGCCGACCUGAGAGGGUGAUCGGCCACACUGGGACUGAGACACGGCCCAGACUCCUACGGGAGGCAGCAGUAGGGAAUCUUCCGCAAUGGACGAAAGUCUGACGGAGCAACGCCGCGUGAGUGAUGAAGGUUUUCGGAUCGUAAAGCUCUGUUGUUAGGGAAGAACAAGUGCGAGAGUAACUGCUCGCACCUUGACGGUACCUAACCAGAAAGCCACGGCUAACUACGUGCCAGCAGCCGCGGUAAUACGUAGGUGGCAAGCGUUGUCCGGAAUUAUUGGGCGUAAAGGGCUCGCAGGCGGUUUCUUAAGUCUGAUGUGAAAGCCCCCGGCUCAACCGGGGAGGGUCAUUGGAAACUGGGAAACUUGAGUGCAGAAGAGGAGAGUGGAAUUCCACGUGUAGCGGUGAAAUGCGUAGAGAUGUGGAGGAACACCAGUGGCGAAGGCGACUCUCUGGUCUGUAACUGACGCUGAGGAGCGAAAGCGUGGGGAGCGAACAGGAUUAGAUACCCUGGUAGUCCACGCCGUAAACGAUGAGUGCUAAGUGUUAGGGGGUUUCCGCCCCUUAGUGCUGCAGCUAACGCAUUAAGCACUCCGCCUGGGGAGUACGGUCGCAAGACUGAAACUCAAAGGAAUUGACGGGGGCCCGCACAAGCGGUGGAGCAUGUGGUUUAAUUCGAAGCAACGCGAAGAACCUUACCAGGUCUUGACAUCCUCUGACAACCCUAGAGAUAGGGCUUUCCCUUCGGGGACAGAGUGACAGGUGGUGCAUGGUUGUCGUCAGCUCGUGUCGUGAGAUGUUGGGUUAAGUCCCGCAACGAGCGCAACCCUUGAUCUUAGUUGCCAGCAUUCAGUUGGGCACUCUAAGGUGACUGCCGGUGACAAACCGGAGGAAGGUGGGGAUGACGUCAAAUCAUCAUGCCCCUUAUGACCUGGGCUACACACGUGCUACAAUGGACAGAACAAAGGGCUGCAAGACCGCAAGGUUUAGCCAAUCCCAUAAAUCUGUUCUCAGUUCGGAUCGCAGUCUGCAACUCGACUGC